rnacentral:tRNA from 1 species
AGCCCGGUCGUCUAGCGGUCAAGGAUGGGGGCCUCUGGAGCCCCAGACGGGAGUUCGAAUCUCUCCCGGGCUACCA